ACGGGUGAGUAACGCGUAGGAACCUGCCCUUAAGAACGGGAUAACCAGAGGAAACUUUGGCUAAUACCGUAUAGUAACUCGAGAGAGGAAAGCUGCCCGCAAGGGUGGCGCUUGAGGAGGGGCCUGCGUCCGAUUAGCUAGUUGGAGUGGUAAUGGCACACCAAGGCGAUGAUCGGUAACUGGUCUGAGAGGACGACCAGUCACACUGGGACUGAGACACGGCCCAGACUCCUACGGGAGGCAGCAGUGGGGAAUCUUGGACAAUGGGGGCAACCCUGAUCCAGCGAUGCCGCGUGAGUGAAGAAGGCCUUCGGGUCGUAAAGCUCUUUAGGUUGGGAAGAAGGGUGUAUGGUGAAUAUCCAUACACAUUGACGGUACCAACAGAAUAAGCACCGGCAAACUCUGUGCCAGCAGCCGCGGUAAUACAGAGGGUGCUAGCGUUAAUCGGAAUUACUGGGCGUAAAGGGCGUGUAGGCGGUGACAUGAGUGUGAUGUGAAAGCCCUGGGCUUAACCUAGGAAGUGCAUUGCAAACGAUGUUACUGGAGUAUAUGAGAGGGUGGCGGAAUUUCCGGU
rnacentral:rRNA from 1 species